GGGGGGACCAUCCUCCAAGGCUAAAUACUCCUGACUGACCGAUAGUGAACCAGUACCGUGAGGGAAAGGCGAAAAGAACCCCGGCGAGGGGAGUGAAAAAGAACCUGAAACCGUGUACGUACAAGCAGUGGGAGCACGCUUAGGCGUGUGACUGCGUACCUUUUGUAUAAUGGGUCAGCGACUUAUAUUCUGUAGCAAGGUUAACCGAAUAGGGGAGCCGAAGGGAAACCGAGUCUUAACUGGGCGUUAAGUUGCAGGGUAUAGACCCGAAACCCGGUGAUCUAGCCAUGGGCAGGUUGAAGGUUGGGUAACACUAACUGGAGGACCGAACCGACUAAUGUUGAAAAAUUAGCGGAUGACUUGUGGCUGGGGGUGAAAGGCCAAUCAAACCGGGAGAUAGCUGGUUCUCCCCGAAAGCUAUUUAGGUAGCGCCUCGUGAAUUCAUCUCCGGGGGUAGAGCACUGUUUCGGCAAGGGGGUCAUCCCGACUUACCAACCCGAUGCAAACUGCGAAUACCGGAGAAUGUUAUCACGGGAGACACACGGCGGGUGCUAACGUCCGUCGUGAAGAGGGAAACAACCCAGACCGCCAGCUAAGGUCCCAAAGUCAUGGUUAAGUGGGAAACGAUGUGGGAAGGCCCAGACAGCCAGGAUGUUGGCUUAGAAGCAGCCAUCAUUUAAAGAAAGCGUAAUAGCUCACUGGUCGAGUCGGCCUGCGCGGAAGAUGUAACGGGGCUAAACCAUGCACCGAAGCUGCGGCAGCGACACUAUGUGUUGUUGGGUAGGGGAGCGUUCUGUAAGCCUGUGAAGGUGUACUGUGAGGUAUGCUGGAGGUAUCAGAAGUGCGAAUGCUGACAUAAGUAACGAUAAAGCGGGUGAAAAGCCCGCUCGCCGGAAGACCAAGGGUUCCUGUCCAACGUUAAUCGGGGCAGGGUGAGUCGACCCCUAAGGCGAGGCCGAAAGGCGUAGUCGAUGGGAAACAGGUUAAUAUUCCUGUACUUGGUGUUACUGCGAAGGGGGGACGGAGAAGGCUAUGUUGGCCGGGCGACGGUUGUCCCGGUUUAAGCGUGUAGGCUGGUUUUCCAGGCAAAUCCGGAAAACUAAGGCUGAGGCGUGAUGACGAGGCACUACGGUGCUGAAGCAACAAAUGCCCUGCUUCCAGGAAAAGCCUCUAAGCAUCAGGUAACAUCAAAUCGUACCCCAAACCGACACAGGUGGUCAGGUAGAGAAUACCAAGGCGCUUGAGAGAACUCGGGUGAAGGAACUAGGCAAAAUGGUGCCGUAACUUCGGGAGAAGGCACGCUGAUAUGUAGGUGAAGUCCCUCGCGGAUGGAGCUGAAAUCAGUCGAAGAUACCAGCUGGCUGCAACUGUUUAUUAAAAACACAGCACUGUGCAAACACGAAAGUGGACGUAUACGGUGUGACGCCUGCCCGGUGCCGGAAGGUUAAUUGAUGGGGUCAGCGCAAGCGAAGCUCUUGAUCGAAGCCCCGGUAAACGGCGGCCGUAACUAUAACGGUCCUAAGGUAGCGAAAUUCCUUGUCGGGUAAGUUCCGACCUGCACGAAUGGCGUAAUGAUGGCCAGGCUGUCUCCACCCGAGACUCAGUGAAAUUGAACUCGCUGUGAAGAUGCAGUGUACCCGCGGCAAGACGGAAAGACCCCGUGAACCUUUACUAUAGCUUGACACUGAACAUUGAGCCUUGAUGUGUAGGAUAGGUGGGAGGCUUUGAAGUGUGGACGCCAGUCUGCAUGGAGCCGACCUUGAAAUACCACCCUUUAAUGUUUGAUGUUCUAACGUUGACCCGUAAUCCGGGUUGCGGACAGUGUCUGGUGGGUAGUUUGACUGGGGCGGUCUCCUCCUAAAGAGUAACGGAGGAGCACGAAGGUUGGCUAAUCCUGGUCGGACAUCAGGAGGUUAGUGCAAUGGCAUAAGCCAGCUUGACUGCGAGCGUGACGGCGCGAGCAGGUGCGAAAGCAGGUCAUAGUGAUCCGGUGGUUCUGAAUGGAAGGGCCAUCGCUCAACGGAUAAAAGGUACUCCGGGGAUAACAGGCUGAUACCGCCCAAGAGUUCAUAUCGACGGCGGUGUUUGGCACCUCGAUGUCGGCUCAUCACAUCCUGGGGCUGAAGUAGGUCCCAAGGGUAUGGCUGUUCGCCAUUUAAAGUGGUACGCGAGCUGGGUUUAGAACGUCGUGAGACAGUUCGGUCCCUAUCUGCCGUGGGCGCUGGAGAACUGAGGGGGGCUGCUCCUAGUACGAGAGGACCGGAGUGGACGCAUCACUGGUGUUCGGGUUGUCAUGCCAAUGGCACUGCCCGGUAGCUAAAUGCGGAAGAGAUAAGUGCUGAAAGCAUCUAAGCACGAAACUUGCCCCGAGAUGAGUUCUCCCUGACUCCUUGAGAGUCCUGAAGGAACGUUGAAGACGACGACGUUGAUAGGCCGGGUGUGUAAGCGCAGCGAUGCGUUGAGCUAACCGGUACUAAUGAACCGUGAGGCUUAACCUU
rnacentral:rRNA from 1 species